rnacentral:lncRNA from 1 species
AUGCAAGUAUACAGUGCAAUUUGAAGUUUUGAGAAGGGGUGCUGUUUGUUUUUGUGCUGUUUUCUCGACUUGUAACGACGCGCGCGAGUGUGUGAGAUGGAGAUUGUAAAUAACAUUUACAUAUCUAAUGUAAAUAUUGAAAAUACGAUGACGACUUCUUUAUGAAUGCACAUCGCCUUGUUUUUGUAAGGUUCUAUUCAAAAAUUUGAUUGUCUUGUCGGGUUACAAUCUGUCAAUAUCGCAG